AAGACUAUACUUUCAGGGAUCAUUUCUAUAGUUCGGUACUAAAGAAGUUUCUCGGAAUGUAUAGAACACCCGAAACCAUGAGGAGGAGGUGCAGUGUUUUCUCAUGCACGCGAAGCCGGCUUCUGGUGUUGCUUAUGCCUUUAGCCACUGAUGAUUGUUCUUCUCUCCCUGGGGGAGUAAAGGGAGAAAACGCAGUCUGGGUGGU